UCAUCCACUUAGAGGCAAGAUGUUCUUCCUUAAGUGCAACUGAAAUCUCUCCUGCUUUAAUUGAAGUCUGUUUCCCCAUGUUCAGUCUACAGUGGACAGAGAGAAAUUGAUCAGCAUCCCUCCUAUAAAACCCCAUCUAUUGAUGUCUAAGGAGGAAGUGGGGAGGAGCAGACCUCUAGAGACACCACCCGGGAGACCCAUCACACCGAAACCCUGACACUAGAAGGACCGCAGUGACUUGGCACCUUAGAAAUGUCCCUAUCCUGCUGGAAAGAGUGCCAUCAGUGACCACCCUUGAGAUGGAGUGGAAUCCCGAAGAGUGUGACCAUCUGGCCUAAAGAAGAAUUUCUGAAUUCUUGUUGAUGUUCAAGAUGAAGGACUCUAUAGAGACAACUUCUUGUUGCUGAAAGAAACCACACAGGUAUCAAAAAAACUAACUUCACC